GGAGGAGUGGCAGAGUGGUCGAUUGCAGCGGUUUUGAAAGCCGUCGUGCGUUUGUAGCGUACCGUGGGUUCGAAUCCCACCUCCUCCGCCA
rnacentral:tRNA from 1 species